UCUUACUGAAGUGUGCCCAGUGAAGGCAGGC
rnacentral:piRNA from 1 species